rnacentral:lncRNA from 1 species
AGGGAAUAUCUAAUAAAUGUAGGUUAAGACAUAUUUCACAAGGAUUUUAACAAAACUAAUUUGAUGUUAUAGAUGUUGUUUUAUUUCUUUUAUAAACUUAGGUAAAAAUUGGUAGAACUUUGACUUAAAAUGAAACUAAAAUAACCUUCAUAACGACGGGAGUAGUUGCUUAUCAAAUCUCACAUCUUCCAUCAGACUCUUGGUAUCAAAAGAUGACUGUUUCGAACCAAAGGAAAAAAAAAGAAUCAAUUGUAAGGGGAAUGCUGUCCAAGUGUCCAUUGCUUGAGAUUAUAUUUCCCUUUGGCAGUUGUAGCAGUUCGAUACACCAUACAACGGCCCUUUCUUCUCCCAAUGAAUUGGAUCGUGAUUCAUCUAAUUCCCUACCUCAGCCCGCUUACGGUCUCUGGCCAUCCCUACUUGGG